GCACCUGGAACUAACAGUGUUGCAGGUCAGUUAUACUUAAAUAAAAUAAAAUCUUUAUACUUUACACAGUUGACCCUUGAGAACAGGGGUUUGAGCUGCGCAGAUCCGCCUGUACUAGGAUUUUUUUUCAACCAUAGUACCACAGGCUACGCGAUCCCCAGCGUGUUGAAUCCGCGGAUGCGGAACUGCGGAUACAGAGGAACCGUGGCUACGGAGGAAUGGCGGAUGCCCAGGAACAGCAGAAAUAAAGCUAGUGCAAAUAACUUGUUGAAAGAAAGGAUACAAUAUUUGCGUUGUGCCAUCUGGAAAUGAAGUCAGAAACUUGCUUCCGUGUUUAUAGUGCUUCUCGAAGAGCUCAUUCCUCACGAUCUGUACACCACGGAAAAUAAAGGGACACUUAACUGUUUCAGUUGAAAAUGAGAUGGCUCUUCCUCAUCUGACUCUUUUUCUGGAAUAUCCAUGGAAAGUUGAUUUUCCAUAUCCCAGCUUGAAGACAAAAAUGGAGUGUGUGCUGGAUAAAACGAGAGACGGUGAACUCAGAAGCUCUUUACAGCUGUCUGUGAAGGGCUCUAUGGAUGUUGCUAAUUUAUUUCAAUCAGUAACGACGGUGAGUUGAACGCUUAAAAAUUUCAGCCAGAUUUUCUGAGCCAUUUCAACCAAUGCAUUGACUGAAGUGAAAGUUUUAAAUAUUGUUUUUUAAAUAUGCCAGUUUUAGCUCUUGAUCAAGCAUAUGAGUUUUCUGAGGUAUAACUGUAUAUAACAUGCGCGUCAAUGAACUUACCU